rnacentral:rRNA from 1 species
UACGUAGGGGCCUAGCGUUGUCCGGAUUUAUUGGGCGUAAAGAGCUCGUAGGCGGUUUGGUAAGUCGGGUGUGAAAUCUCCACGCUCAACGUGGAGGGGCCACCGAUACUGCCAUGACUGGAGUCCGGUAGGGGAGUGUGGAAUUCCCGGUGUAGCGGUGGAAAUGACGCAGAUAUACGGGAGGAACACCAGUAGCGAAGGCGA